rnacentral:tRNA from 1 species
GGGGAUUUAACUCAGUGGCAUAAGUACCUGCCCGGCAAGCAGGCGGUCGUGAGUUCAAUCCCCG